GUGCAUUUCAGCAGCACAUGUACCAAAAUUGGAACGAUACGGAGAAGACUGGCCUGGCCCCUGCGCAAGGAUGACACGUGAACUUGUGAAGUGUUCCAUAUUUUU